GACGAACGCUGGCGGCGUGCUUAACACAUGCAAGUCGAACGGAAAGGCCCUGCUUUUGUGGGGUGCUCGAGUGGCGAACGGGUGAGUAACACGUGAGUAACCUGCCCUUGACUUUGGGAUAACUUCAGGAAACUGGGGCUAAUACCGGAUAGGAGCUCCUGCUGCAUGGUGGGGGUUGGAAAGUUUCGGCGGUUGGGGAUGGACUCGCGGCUUAUCAGCUUGUUGGUGGGGUAGUGGCUUACCAAGGCUUUGACGGGUAGCCGGCCUGAGAGGGUGACCGGCCCACAUGGGGAUGGGGAUACGGCCCAGACCCUUAGGGGAGCAGCAGUGGGGAAUAUUGCACAAUGGGCGGAAGCCUGAUGCAGCAACGCCGCGUGCGGGAUGACGGCCUUCGGGUUGUAAACCGCUUUCGCCUGUGACGAAGCGUGAGUGUCGGUAAUGGGUAAAGAAGCACCGGCUAACUACGUG
rnacentral:rRNA from 1 species